rnacentral:lncRNA from 1 species
GACACCACCACCCUAAACCAGUUACAUGAGAUUGCCAGACAGCAACCAACUUAAGUUCUUGCCUCUGGCAUUGACCAAGAGCCUCUAGAGAUAAGACCAUCCCCCCCUCUUCCUGGCACAGAGAGGGAGGCAUCUUCACAGAUAGAGGUUUCCCUUAGAAAUGUAAAUGUUUCCCAACAAAGGGGCAAACAAAUUCCACUCCUUGGAGCCUGAAUCUCAUCUGUAGUUUUAAAACUAACCAGCCUAAAAAUCCUCAUCAUAAGCCAUUUUAAAAUUAAGCAGCCUAAAAAUCCUCAUCAUAAACCCCCCGUGAACCCAUUUUGGCCCCGAAAUCUUUUGGGGAUAUGGACGAUGGUCAGUCUUCUGUAACUACUUCCGGCUGUACAAGGUCGUAGAGCUGUCCCUAAAUGGGGCCAUGGACCGGAAGGCUGCACCCGUGGCGUCCAAGGCUGACAAGGUGUACAGAUCCUCUGGCGAUGAGAGAAUCAUUUGAUGAGAGGUGGUCCAGGAGGUGAAACUUUGUUGACAUGUGGAAGACAAACAACGAAAUAGACAACAAAUUAUAAUAAGAAAUACAAGCAAGAUGAUUAACCCAAUGAAUAAGAUUUUGAUAGUAGUCCAGAAACCUGGACCUGACCAAGAGUUCAACCAAUCAUUUAGAGAUAGGGUAGGGUCAGACAUGGACUUAACUUGGUGGCUUAUAUCAGAUAGGAAGCCAGAGAUAUUUUGAUGGUAGUCAGGAAUAUAAACACAACAUUCAGUUUUUAUAAUGGCACAAGUACCCCCUUGCGCUGCUGUCAAGACAUCCAGUGCCAUUCGGUUUUGGAGGACUGCCUUACUCAUUUGGGACACUUCUAAAUCAAGCAGCGAAAGGCUAUGUUGUGUAUCAUUUAAUGCUUUCAUAGUAAAUUUGUUUAGAGCUUCCAUGUGCCAGAUGACACUUUCGAUUCCUAAUUGGGGAAGGAAAAUUGAGGCAACGUGGUCAUACCAGUGGAAGACAGAGCG